rnacentral:rRNA from 1 species
UACGAAGGGGGCUAGCGUUGCUCGGAAUCACUGGGCGUAAAGGGUGCGUAGGCGGGUCUUUAAGUCAGGGGUGAAAUCCUGGAGCUCAACUCCAGAACUGCCUUUGAUACUGAAGAUCUUGAGUUCGGGAGAGGUGAGUGGAACUGCGAGUGUAGAGGUGAAAUUCGUAGAUAUUCGCAAGAACACCAGUGGCGAAGGCGGCUCACUGGCCCGAUACUGACGCUGAGGCACGAAAUCGUGGGGAGCAAACAGG